rnacentral:rRNA from 1 species
GCAGUCGACGGCAGCACAGAAGAGCUUGCUCUUUGGGUGGCGAGUGGCGGACGGGUGAGUAAUGUCUGGGAAACUGCCCGAUGGAGGGGGAUAACUACUGGAAACGGUAGCUAAUACCGCAUAACGUCGCAAGACCAAAGUGGGGGACCUUCGGGCCUCACACCAUCGGAUGUGCCCAGAUGGGAUUAGCUAGUAGGUGGGGUAAUGGCUCACCUAGGCGACGAUCCCUAGCUGGUCUGAGAGGAUGACCAGCCACACUGGAACUGAGACACGGUCCAGACUCCUACGGGAGGCAGCAGUGGGGAAUAUUGCACAAUGGGCGCAAGCCUGAUGCAGCCAUGCCGCGUGUAUGAAGAAGGCCUUCGGGUUGUAAAGUACUUUCAGCGGGGAGGAAGGCGGUGAGGUUAAUAACCUUGCCGAUUGACGUUACCCGCAGAAGAAGCACCGGCUAACUCCGUGCCAGCAGCCGCGGUAAUACGGAGGGUGCAAGCGUUAAUCGGAAUUACUGGGCGUAAAGCGCACGCAGGCGGUCUGUUAAGUCAGAUGUGAAAUCCCCGGGCUUAACCUGGGAACUGCAUUUGAAACUGGCAGGCUUGAGUCUCGUAGAGGGGGGUAGAAUUCCAGGUGUAGCGGUGAAAUGCGUAGAGAUCUGGAGGAAUACCGGUGGCGAAGGCGGCCCCCUGGACGAAGACUGACGCUCAGGUGCGAAAGCGUGGGGAGCAAACAGGAUUAGAUACCCUGGUAGUCCACGCCGUAAACGAUGUCGACUUGGAGGUUGUGCCCUUGAGGCGUGGCUUCCGGAGCUAACGCGUUAAGUCGACCGCCUGGGGAGUACGGCCGCAAGGUUAAAACUCAAAUGAAUUGACGGGGGCCCGCACAAGCGGUGGAGCAUGUGGUUUAAUUCGAUGCAACGCGAAGAACCUUACCUGGCCUUGACAUCCAGAGAACUUAGCAGAGAUGCUUUGGUGCCUUCGGGAACUCUGAGACAGGUGCUGCAUGGCUGUCGUCAGCUCGUGUUGUGAAAUGUUGGGUUAAGUCCCGCAACGAGCGCAACCCUUAUCCUUUGUUGCCAGCGAUUCGGCCGGGAACUCAAAGGAAACUGCCGGUGAUAAACCGGAAG